rnacentral:rRNA from 1 species
UACGAAGGGGGCUAGCGUUGCUCGGAAUUACUGGGCGUAAAGGGCGCGUAGGCGGCACUGUUAGUCAGGCGUGAAAGUCCUGGGCUCAACCUGGGAACUGCGCUUGAUACGGCAGAGCUAGAGGAUGGAAGAGGCUCGCGGAAUUCCCAGUGUAGAGGUGAAGUUCGUAGAUAUUGGGAAGAACACCGGUGGCGAAGGCGGCGAGCUGGUCCAUUACUGACGCUGAGGCGCGACAGCGUGGGGAGCAAACAGG